GACGAACCGUGCGAACGUUGUUCGGAAUCACUGGGCUUAAAGGGCGCGUAGGCGGGUUUGCAAGUCUGCGGUGAAAGCCUCCAGCUUAACUGGAGAAGUGCCGUGGAUACUGCGGAUCUCGAGGAGGGUAGGGGCAUCUGGAACGGUCGGUGGAGCGGUGAAAUGCGUUGAUAUCGACCGGAACUCCGGGUGGCGAAGGCGGCGUGCUGGACCCGAUCUGACGCUGAGGCGCGAAAGCCAGGGGAGCGAACGGG
rnacentral:rRNA from 1 species